rnacentral:rRNA from 1 species
GACGAACGCUGGCGGCGUGCCUAAUACAUGCAAGUCGAGCGCAGGAAACUGACGGAACUCUUCGGAGGGAAGGCAGUGGAAUGAGCGGCGGACGGGUGAGUAACACGUAAGGAACCUGCCUCAAGGAUUGGGAUAACUCCGAGAAAUCGGAGCUAAUACCGGAUAGUUCAUCGGACCGCAUGGUCCGCUGAUGAAAGGCGCUCCGGCGUCACCUUGAGAUGGCCUUGCGGUGCAUUAGCUAGUUGGUGGGGUAACGGCCCACCAAGGCGACGAUGCAUAGCCGACCUGAGAGGGUGAUCGGCCACACUGGGACUGAGGAACGGCCCAGACUCCUACGGGAGGCAGCAGUAGGGAAUCUUCCACAAUGGACGAAAGUCUGAUGGAGCAACGCCGCGUGAGUGAUGAAGAUUUUCGGAUCGUAAAACUCUGUUGUAAGGGAAGAACACGUACGAGAGGGAAUGCUCGUACCUUGACGGUACCUUACGAGAAAGCCACGGCUAACUACGUGCCAGCCGCCGCCGUAA